UGAGCCAAGAAUGACUUGCCGGC
rnacentral:miRNA from 1 species